rnacentral:rRNA from 1 species
UACGUAGGGUGCGAGCGUUAAUCGGAAUUACUGGGCGUAAAGCGUGCGCAGGCGGCGCGUUAAGACAGGUGUGAAAGCCCCGAGCUUAACUUGGGAAUUGCGCUUGUGACUGGCGAGCUGGAGUGUGGCAGAGGGAGGUGGAAUUCCACGUGUAGCAGUGAAAUGCGUAGAGAUGUGGAGGAACACCGAUGGCGAAGGCAGCCUCCUGGGCCAGCACUGACGCUCAUGCACGAAAGCGUGGGGAUCAAACAGG